AGGCCCCCGCGGCGGCGCCUCCGGGCUCCAACGGCCUCAACGGAAGGCGGCGCGGGGGGCAGAGGCGCAUCAGUCUGGGGGGGACCCGGGCGGGGGGCGUUGGGGAAGCCGCGGCCUGGACCGGGACCCACAGCGGCGGCUCCACCUGGGGCAGGGCUCUGACCCGCACUCGGCCUGCGGUGUGCACGUCUAGUAGGAGACAAUCACUAAUUGCCUGCUGACUAGAUCGUCAAACAAAAUUCUGAUGAGCAGCUGGCUCUAAUUAUUGUCAUUCCUUUGCAGGCCAAGUAUCCCAAAUAGAGUCUGGCAUAGAGAAGUCAAUAGAUGCUUGUGGAAUUGAAUCAGCAUGGACAUGAAGUGAGAAGCUUUCCUUCCUUCAGGAACUCCACCCUACACUGAUCCUUCUUUUUUCAUGCCACCAGCAUCCUACUGACUUUACUUUGUACCUGUCACUGUCACAGCAAGUUGUGUCUCUCUUCACUGAAGCCACAUUUCUGAUUAAUAUGGGCUGAAAUCAUCUUAUGUGGCAAGGGACUGAUUGAGAAAAUACAGAUAAUUCUAAAGAAAGGAUGUAAAAACUCUUCUAAUGAAUCGCUACUAAUCUUCACUGAUGACAAGGGCAUGUACAUCAUGGAACUUAAUUUUUUAUAGAAAUGGGCUAUUUUGGAACAUUCUUCCAUGAUCUCUUUUUCUCAUUUGAUAAUAAUAUGAACAUCCUCCAUAUCAUUAAAUUCUUUUGUAUAGGAAAUUUUUAAUUAUUGUAUGGUUUCAUUAAAUAUAAUAUAGUUUAUAGUAUUUACUGCAUGUGCAUAUGCGUAUAUUCAGAGAGAGAGAGAAUAUAUAUUUAUUUUCACCUACAUCUACAGACACAUAAUACAACUUUAAUCAGCUAUGUUGGUAAAACUUUGGACAUAUUGUAUUUAUAGUUUCUGAGAAGAUAUUUAAAAAAAAAAUUCUUGAGUUAAAGGUUAUAAGCUGUGUUUCAUCUUCUUGUAUAGAGCAUUAUAGGAAGGUGUGAUACGGGCACCCACUAUAGUACUUAUGUGCAUUGUCAUAUAACAUUCAUUCAUUCAUUCAUUCAUUCAUUUUGUUUCUAAGUUAACUGCGGUAUAAUUGAAAAAUAAAAAUC